UACGUAGGGUGCGAGCGUUAAUCGGAAUUACUGGGCGUAAAGCGUGCGCAGGCGGUUUUGUAAGACAGGCGUGAAAUCCCCGGGCUUAACCUGGGAACUGCGUUUGUGACUGCAAGGCUAGAGUGUAGCAGAGGGGGGUAGAAUUCCACGUGUAGCAGUGAAAUGCGUAGAUAUGUGGAGGAAUACCGAUGGCGAAGGCAGCCCCCUGGGCUAACACUGACGCUCAUGCACGAAAGCGUGGGGAGCAAACAGGAUUAGAAACCCUUGUAGU
rnacentral:rRNA from 1 species